CUACAAAUUGAAAAGAAUAACAGUUAUUUUUUUAACAAGUACUUUUUUACCUUUAAACAAAGUUUUAAUAAAAUGAAAUUUUUGGCACUUUUCGUUUUAAUUAUUUUUGCAUUGACAAUUGUCACUGAUGCGUCUGGUUCAUAUGGAAAAAGAUGUAAACCUGGUAAAGUAUUUAAAAUUGAUUGCAAUGAAUGUAUUUGCGCAAAAAAUGGUAUGACAGCUAUAUGUACACUAAUGGCCUGUCGACAUCAAGACUAAAACAUAGUUCAAUUUAAUAUUCCUGAAAUUCAUCCACAAGAAAAAUUUUCAUGAGAUAUAAUUGUAAUUUUCUCGAAAAAAUUUGGAAAUUAAUCCUAUAUAUAUUAAUAGAAUAAAAAAAAUUCAUUUUUAUUUUUAAAAAAAUGUAUGUUGAAAAAUUUGAUAUUUUUGAAAAAUAUUAAAAUAAUAAAUGUAUUGCACUUUUGACUAA